CUCCAUUCAUUCAUUCAUAAACUUCCAUAUUUUUCUUCAUCAACACAUUACUGUACUGCUGUUGCUGUAAUUCUCUAAAAGAACAAUGGCUGCUCUCUCAGUAGCCAACACUUCUCUUAAGGUUCCUCAUUCACUCGCCCUGCAAUCUAUCUAUUAUUAAUUGAUCCUGACUUGUUCGGGACUGAGACGUACAUAGUUAUGAAUAUGUUUGUUGAUUUGUUGUUUUUUUAAAAUUGAUGGACAGGUCAGCAACAAAGGAUUCUCUGAAUUCUCUGGUCUGAGAACCUCAUCAGCUGUUCCAUUUGGAAGGAAAACUAAUGAUGAUUUGUUCUCUGUAGCUGGCUUACAGACCUCUGCUGUGAGUAUUAUUAUACAACUACUACUAUUAUUGCAUUAUAAGAUCAAUCAGGUCAUAAACCUUUAAUUAGUAUUGAUAGUGUAAAAAAUCUAACAUUGUCGAUGUAUGUAACUUAAAUCCUUAAAAAGUUAAGGAAAAGAAGAGAGAAUGUGUAUCCUUCAUGUCUGGUUGUGAUCAAGAUGUGCUCUAUGUUCUUUUUUUCUUGUAUGUGCUAAACAUUAAUUUGACAAGUUUGAAGGAAGAUCAAACACUAUUGUUAAAGAAAAUUUAGACAAAAUAAAAAUGAGUGAUAACAUUGUAUGAAUAUCUAAGUUGUACUUCUAACCUAUGUUAUGUUGCUCGGACUCUCUAAAAUUGUUGCUGCAUCCAUGUCGGAUUCUCCCAAAAUAUACUACUUUUGGAGAAUCCGACAUGCACCUGUCAGCAUUUUUGACGAGUCCGAGUAACAUAGCUUCCAAAAAUGUUUCUUUUGGUAAUUGGAUUUAAUGAAAUGUAGAUUGGAGGAAGGAAGAACAAGAGGAUAGUAACUGAGGCAAAGUUGAAAGUGGCUAUCAAUGGAUUUGGAAGAAUUGGAAGGAACUUCUUGAGGUGUUGGCAUGGUAGAAAAGACUCACCUCUUGAUGUCAUUGCCAUCAAUGACACUGGUGGUGUCAAGCAAGCUUCUCACCUUCUCAAAUAUGACUCCACCCUUGGCAUCUUUGAUGCUGACGUCAAGCCGGUUGGCACUGAUGGAAUCUCUGUCGAUGGAAAAAUCAUCCAAGUCGUCUCCAACCGUGACCCUGUGAACCUCCCAUGGGGGUAAGUUCUAUCAUACUGAAAUGUAACAAAACGGAUUUAAGUUGUAUAUGUUCAAAUAUAGUGUAACAAAAUUUACAUUAUACAUUUGUAGAAAAGACUAAUUAAAACUCUGUAUUAUGAUACAGGGAACUCAUAUUAUCAGUUGUCUAAACAGAAACAGUAGUUCUAAGUUUUAAUAGUCAUGAAUUAUAGACUUAAUGGUAACAAACAAACCUAAGCUAUCACAUUUUCGUGAGUUUCAUACGUCAGCUAUCCAUUGUUCUACUUAGCACUUACAUACCUAAACUGUCACCUUUUUGCGAGUUUCAUACCUCAACUAUCACUCCCUUUGUAUUAAACACACCUCGAUGUUGAAUUGUCCUACAUGCCUGUUGUUGAUUGAGAACAAAUAUUUGGCCAGCUUGAGUGAUAUUUUAGGUACAAAAAGAGAACAAUGGAUAGUUGAGGUAUGACACUCGCGAAGAAGUGAUAGUUUAAGUGUUUUUUUAUCAUUUACUCUGAAUUGAAACAUGAUUAAUUUAGCUCAUGUGGUGUCUAACAUAUACUACUAGCAUGAGAUACCUGGUAAGCAUCUAAACUAUUGUUCAAAAUGUUUUCUGUAAUUUGUUCAGAGAACUUGGAAUUGAUUUGGUCAUAGAAGGUACCGGAGUGUUUGUAGACAGAGAAGGUGCCGGUAAACACAUCCAGGCCGGAGCCAAGAAGGUGCUCAUCACCGCCCCUGGAAAAGGUGAUAUCCCUACUUAUGUUGUUGGUGUCAAUGCUGAACUUUACAACCAUGAUGAACCUAUCAUCAGCAAUGCCUCUUGCACCAC
rnacentral:lncRNA from 1 species